rnacentral:lncRNA from 1 species
AGGUGCAGUUUGCAGUGCCUCCCUCCCCAGCCAAACCUGGGAGUAACAGCACAGCUGGAUCUCUGUGAAGGCGCAUGGGAAAGGUCACUACUUCUAACCGGCCUGGGGCACCGCUCGUUCCCCUUCCAGCAUUGUUGCUUGUUUGAGACCUCCCUGGGCAGAGCAGCAGCAAAGCACCCCUUGUUUUCUUCCUUCUGGGGUGUGGACACGUUGCUGCCUCUCCCUAGUGGGUGGCUGUCUAAACUUUAUUUGGUGACAAAGACACCUCUGGUGACCCUGCUGCGGUAUGUGACUCGUUUUCUUCACCUCAGAAACACAGAGCACCUUUUCACUGCUGUGGCAGCAGCUCGGAGAUCCUAACUCACACCAAGCUUUUUGUUUUGUCUUAUCUGUCCCUUUCCCUAUCUGCAAGUCCUCAGUGACUCUAAUGGUUUCAAACAGUGCAGGCAACUGUGUUUUCAUUUUUAUGUUGAACAAAAUGUCAGCAGGUGACAACCAAGAGUUGCUGGUGCCAGCUGUAAUUUAGUAGUGCUAAAUAUGGUAAACAGUCUGGUUCCAUGGCCUUUUUUAGAAAGGGCAGUAUUAUCAUGAUACCAUUUUCUAUCAUCCCAUUGCACUAGGGAAAACAGGGGCCAGCAGCAAUAUGUCUAAACCUGUAUUUCACCCAAUAACAACAUUAUCACUGAUUUGUUCACUCCUUUCACCUCCACUCCCCAAACCCCAGUUCAGGGUCAUUCUUCAGCCUUGACUCACUGGAACCUCUUCAAUGUUGUCAUUUUCUUUUUGGACUGUGUUUAAAUACAUAUCACUUGCAUGCUUUACUUUUAUAUGAACCACAGUACUUCUCAAAAUCCUAUUCUAUUGGUUUAGGAGUAAACUCCCUCCAGCUGAAUUAACUGGAAUUACUACAAAUAUUUAGUGCUUCAGAACCAGUUGUUGUCAGAAAUGAAGCUACCUUCUAUCUCAAUUUUGUUGGCACCUGAGGUCAGCCUGCUUUUAGAUCUCUGUGUUCCCAGGAAGUCUGAACUCUGGCGGCACUUUUUACCGCUUCUGUGUUGCUUGGUGAUCACUCUGAGCCAGAGAGGCUGACCUGCGCCUGGCUCGUCUGCCUGCUCGGCCUCACGUAACACAAGCUCCUGAGUUUUGCAAGACUGCAGGUGAGGGCUGUACUGCCAAGAGACAUCAUUUGUGGUCAUGUUUUAGGACAUGGUAUCACAAGACAUGCAGAAUUAAUGUAGUUCA